AGGCCCAGAUUUAUCAGGAUGCAUUUAGAACAAAACAUCUUUAACUUCUUCACCUAAAAUAGGCAUCAGUAUAGCUAAAUUAUGAGCAACAGUAAUCGUCAUGAGAAUACAAUCAAUAACCUCUUGCCAAUGAACCAAAGAAGCUGAUAAAAUAUUAGAAAAAUAAUCCACCAUCACCAUUUGGGAUUUUAGAUUUCAUCGUGUAAAAACGUCAUUAAUUUUAAACACAUGAUAAAAAACCAAACCCAAGAAUUAGCCCUCUUCUUCUCCAAUCAUAUUUCUUUCUCCGAUCACUACACCUCCGCCCUUUGCCCGAGCUCACAUCCGGCAUCCCUCUCUCCGAUCUUUCCUUCUCCUUCUAUCCAACAAUGGAUUUCAUGAAGUUUUUGACCAGACAGUUCGCGAAAUAUCAAUAUUCUCUUCUCACCUUUUUGAUUUUGCAAUUAUUUUAUUUUAAUUAUUCUCGAUUUUCUUUUUUAUUUCUCCAAUAUUUGAAUGAGAGUUGAAUUAAACUUGAUUAAUUUUGAAAUUUGUAGAAAGAGGGAGGUUAAUUUGAAGGUUUUGGAGAUUGAAUAGAAAGUGAUUCAAUAAAAUACAGUCGAAUAUUCAUAGAUUAUAUAAAUAUAUUUGAAAUUGUUGGAUAGUAGUAGUAUAAACAUGGUGUUUACUGAUUUUUUUCUUUUGGAUUGAGUUAUGAUCCUUUUCAUUUGGUUUAGGUAACAUUCUAAUUAUUGAUACAUGCCGUAUUAGAUGCAAGAGACAAUGAAUUUUGGGGUCCUCUAUACUAAUACUCUGUUUUUGAGAAAGACAAGCUCAUACUCUUAUCACCGUCUUGCGAAGUGUCAAGAUGGUUAUGAAUGUGUUGUUUGUGGACAAGAUUGGACAAAACCGGCAAGGAUUGGGGCUAUGUCUAUAAGGUGAGGGUGUAUAUUUUUUUAUUAUCUCAUUAAUUACUCUCGAUUCAAAAUGUCUUUGAUUUCCAACUUCAAUAACAAAUCCUUUCAUAAAUUUCACCUUAUUUUCUUUUCAAUUUCAUUUAAGAAUAUUUUUAAUUGUACGUACUACUUUAUGAAUACGGGACUUAAAAAAUAUAUAGCUAGUUAUAAUUUAGAGGUUAUUUUUAUUUGGUGUGUAUUCUUACAAGCAUUUUACUUUACAAAAAAGGCUUAACAACUGCUCCUAAUGUUGUUUACAGAGUGAACUGUGUAGAUGGUUCCGUAGUAAUUUUCUCAA